AACGAACGCUGGCGGCGUGCCUAACACAUGCAAGUCGAGCGAGUGAAUCUCCUUCGGGAGUGAAGCUAGCGGCGGACGGGUGAGUAACACGUGGGCAACCUGCCUCAUAGAGGGGAAUAGCCUUUCGAAAGGAAGAUUAAUACCGCAUAAGAUUGUAGCUUCGCAUGAAGUAGCAAUUAAAGGAGCAAUCCGCUAUGAGAUGGGCCCGCGGCGCAUUAGCUAGUUGGUGAGGUAACGGCUCACCAAGGGGACGAUGCGUAGCCGACCUGAGAGGGUGGUCGGCGACAUUGGGACUGAGACACGGCCCAGACUCCUACGGGAGGCAGCAGUGGGGAAUAUUGCACAAUGGGGGAAACCCUGAUGCAGCAACGCCGCGUGAGUGAUGACGGCCUUCGGGUUGUAAAGCUCUGUCUUCAGGGACGAUAAUGACGGUACCUGAGGAGGAAGCCACGGCUAACUACGUGCCAGCCGCCGCGGUAACAC
rnacentral:rRNA from 1 species